CCCACCAACCCCACCUGGGCUUUAAAUACAAUAGAUGACAUUAACCAUACGUAUCGUGUUCUGAUGAAUGAAUAACAGCAUGUCAAGUACCACCAGCAACACUGUUUUAUUGGUAUGAGGGAAGGGUGUGAAGGGGUUUUAAAGGAGUAGAAGUGUGCAUGAAUCAGAAAGUCGAACAGUACAGGUAGGGAUGAAGCACCUUUUUACACCAUCAGGCCAAUUCUCUUCCUCCGUGCAUCAAUUCAAGAAUUAUGGCCUACUUGGGUCGCCUUCUGUAU
rnacentral:lncRNA from 1 species